GAGAGAACUCAGUAGUUCUGGCAGGGCAAGGUCCCUGGGUGGGGCUCACUUGUUGCAGGAGCAGGAACAUUUCAACAGCCAUCCUGACACCACAGUCCAGGGUUUGUGUACUUGCGUCUGUCUCCAGCAUCCAGACAAGUACCAUGAGGAGGCUGCUGUCCUCUUUGCUGGGGCUGCUGUGCAUCCAGAUUUGCUGGGUGAAUGGGCAGCAAGUGAAGCAGAGUCCUGUGUCCUUGGUUUUGCAGGAGGGAGAGCGUGCAGAGCUGCAGUGCAACUUUUCCACCAUGACAACCGAAGUGCAUUGGUUUUAUCAAAGCCCUGGGGGAUACCUCAUCAGCCUGUUUUACAAUCCUUCUAGAACAAAGCAGAGUGGAAGACUGAAGUCCACAACAGUCCCUCAGGAACGCAUCAGCUCUUUGUACAUUUUCUCCUCUCAGAUCACAAACUCAGGCACUUAUUUCUGUGCUGUGGAUCCACAGUGCUCCCCACACACCUGCAGCCAGUACACAAACCUUCAGCUGGGUGGGUGUGGCCUUCCCCUGUUAUAAGACAUCAGAAUUCCACAAGUGAACAUCUGCUUGAUUUAAUGUCCCUUUUUGGUACAGGCAGAGUUUUUAGAUCUAAGAUCAGGUAAGCUUUUGGCCAUGUAAGUUAAGGACUUAGGUCUUUAAAUUCUCAAUAUAUACUCCCUUGUGAUGCAGAAAUGAUCAUCUAGGAACUAACAGAGAAGCUGAUGGGACAACUGAACCAAUGUCAGGUCACCUGCUGUGGACAGGAUCACAGUUUUUGAGGAGAAAACAAUGUGCAACAACAGCAAGAACAUCAAGUCAUGGAAGAUACAGAAUGUACAGAGAGCUGGAUGUCCUAGCUUCUUUUCUAUUGCUGUUCUAAAACUCUCUGAGAAAAAGCAACUUAGAAGUUGAAAAGAUUUAUUUAGCUUUUACUCUCAGGCCAUAGUCCAUCAUUAGUGGUAAUCAAGGUGGGAACUCAAACAGGAGAUUCAAACAGAAACCCUGGGGAAACUCUAUUGCUAGUUCACUCACAGGCUUACACUUAACUAGCUUCCUAAUAUGACCCAGGCCACUUUCGCACAGAAUGGUGCCACCCACAAUGGGCAGGUCUCCAUUCAAUUCAUCAGUUAAAAAAGUGGUGCUUGGUGUUUUAGUUCAGUUUUAUUGAAUUUAUAGAAGAUGGUAAGGAUAUUGAAGGUAUUAAAUCUUUUAAUUAUGUAUCUUUAAGUUACCUUUUCAUGUAUU